GAUGAACGCUGGCGGCGUGCUUAACACAUGCAAGUCGAACGAGAAAUGUAGACGGAAACCUUCGGGCGGAAGCCUUCAUUUCGAGUGGCGGACGGGUGAGUAACGCGUGGGUAACCUGCCUCAUACAGGGGGAUAACAGUUGGAAACGACUGUUAAUACCGCAUAAGACCACAGCAUCGCAUGAUGCGGGGGUAAAAACUCCGGUGGUAUGAGAUGGACCCGCGCUCGAUUAGCCAGUUGGCGGGGUAACGGCCCACCAAAGCGACGAUCGAUAGCCGAUCUGAGAGGAUGACCGGCCACAUUGGGACUGAGACACGGCCCAAACUCCUACGGGAGGCAGCAGUGGGGAAUAUUGCACAAUGGGGGAAACCCUGAUGCAGCGACGCCGCGUGAGUGAAGAAGUACUUCGGUAUGUAAAGCUCUAUCAGCAGGGAAGAAAAUGACGGUACCUGAGUAAGAAGCCCCGGCUAACUACGU
rnacentral:rRNA from 1 species